GCCUGGCUGGCUCAGUGGGUAGAGCAUCUGACUCUCAGUCUCAGGGUCAUGAGUUCAAGCCUCACGUUGGGCA